CCUGGUUGAUCCUGACAGUAGUCAUAUGCUUGUCUCAAAGAUUAAUCCAUUCAUGUGUAAGUAUUAACGAAUUCAGACUGUGAUACUGCGAAUGGCUCAUUAUAUCAGUUAUAGUUUGUUUUAUGGUAACUACUACUCGGAUAACCGAAGUAAUUCUAGAGCUAAUACGUGCAACAACCACCGACUUCUGGAAGAUGCAUUUAUUAGAUAAAGGUCGACGCGGGCUCAGCCCGUUGCUCUGAUGAUUCUAGAACUCGACGGUUCGCAUGGCCUUAGUGCUGGCGACACAUCAUCAAAUUUCUGCCCUAUCAACUUCCGAUGGUAGGAUAGUGGCACACCAUGGUGGUAAACGGUGACGAGAAUUAGGGUUAGUUCGAUUCCGGAAGGGGAGCCUGAGAAACGGCUACAACAUACAAGGAAGGCAGCAGGCCGGCAAAUUACCCAAUCCUGACACGGGAGGUAGUGACAAUAAAUAACAAUAACGCGCUCUUUGAGUCUGGUAAUUGGAAUGAGUACAAUCUAAAUCACUUAACGAGGAUCCAUUGGAGGGCAAGUCUUGUGCCAGCAGCCGAGGUAAUUCCAGCUCCAAUAGCGUAUAUUAAAGUUGUUGCAGUUAAAAGCUCGUAGUUGAACCAUGGGAUGGGUCGCCCGGUCCACCUUUGGUGAGCACCGGUACGCUUGUCUCUUAAUGUCGGCGAUACUCUCCUGGCCUUAGCUGGCCGGGUCGUGCCUCCCGCGCUGUUACUUUGAAGAAAUUAGAGUGCUCAAAAGCAGCCCACGCUCUGUAUUACAUUACAUGGAACAUCAAGGAAUUUCGAUCCUAUUUGUUGGCCUCGGAUCGGUACCAAUAAUAUACCAGGACAUCGGCAUUUGUAUUUCAUCGUCAGAGGUGAAAGUCUUGGAUUUAUGAAAGACGAACAACUGCGAAAGCAUUUGCCAAGAAUGUUUUCAUUAAUCAAGAACGAAUGUUGGGGGCUCGAAGACGAACAGAUACCGUCCUAGUCUAAACAAUAAACGAUGCCGAACAGGGAUAAGCGGAUGUUGCUUUUAGAACUCAGCUGGCACCUUAUGAGAAAACAAAAGUUUUUCGGUUUCCGGGGGGAGUAUUGGUCGCAAGGCUUGAAACUUUAAAGUGACAUGACGGAAGGGCACCACCAAGAGUGGAGCCUGCGGCUUAAUUUGACUCAACACGGAGAAACUUACCAGGUACAGAAAUAGUAAGGAUUGAAAGACUGAUAGAUCUUUCUUGAUUCUACGGGUGGUGGUGCAUGGCCAUUCUUAGUUGGUGGAGCGACAUUGUCGGUGUUAUCCUUAUACGAACGAGACUCAGCCUGCUAACUAGAUACGUGGAGACAUCCCUUCACGGCCGGCUUCUUAGGGGGACGAUGGCCGUUUAGUCCAAGUAAGUUUGAGGCAAUAACAAGUCUGUGAUGCCCUUAGAUGUUCUUGGCCGCACGCGCGCUACAAUGAUGUAUUCAACGAGCUCACACCUGCCGACGCCGGGUAAAUCUUUGAAUUUCAUGCUGAUGGGGAUAGAUCAUUGCCAUUGUUCGUCUUCAACGAAUUCCUUUAGUAAGCGCGAUCCAUCAGCUCGCGUACUACGUCCCUGCCCUUUGUACACACCGCCCGUCGAUACUACCGAUUGAAUGAUACGGCGAAGUGUUCGGAUCACGGCGACAUCACGAGAAGUCCACUAAACCAUAUCAUUUAGAGGAAGGAAAAGUCGUAACAAGGUUUCCGUAGGUGAACCUGCGGAAG
rnacentral:rRNA from 1 species